AUACGGAGGGGACUAGCGUUGUUCGGAAUUACUGGGCGUAAAGAGUUCGUAGGCGGACUGAUAAGUAAGAGGUGAAAUCCCAGGGCUCAACCCUGGAACUGCCUUUUAAACUGUCAGUCUAGAGACCGUAAGAGGUUAGGGGAAUACCUAGUGUAGAGGUGAAAUUCGUAGAUAUUAGGUGGAACACCAGUGGCGAAGGCGCCUAACUGGUCCGGUACUGACGCUGAGGAACGAAAGCGUGGGGAGCAAACAGAAUUAGAAACCCUAGUAGUCC
rnacentral:rRNA from 1 species